GACGAACGCUGGCGGCGUGCCUAAUACAUGCAAGUAGAACGCUGAAGAGAGGAGCUUACUCUUCUUGGAUGAGUUGCGAACGGGUGAGUAACGCGUAGGUAACCUGCCUUGUAGCGGGGGAUAACUAUUGGAAACGAUAGCUAAUACCGCAUAACAAUGGAUGACACAUGUCAUUUAUUUGAAAGGGGCAAUUGCUCCACUACAAGAUGGACCUGCGUUGUAUUAGCUAGUAGGUGAGGUAAUGGCUCACCUAGGCGACGAUACAUAGCCGACCUGAGAGGGUGAUCGGCCACACUGGGACUGAGACACGGCCCAGACUCCUGCGGGAGGCAGCAGUAGGGAAACUUCGACAAUGGGCGCAACCCUGACCGAGCAACGCAGCGUGAGUGAAGAAGGCUUUCGGAUCGGAAAGCUCGGUUGUGAGUCAAGAACGGGUGUGAGAGUGGAAAGUUCACACUGUGACGGUAGCUGACCAGAAAGGGACGGCUAACUACGUG
rnacentral:rRNA from 1 species